rnacentral:misc_RNA from 1 species
AAGGGGGAUUGAUGUAUCCUGUGUAGUAGUAAAUUGCUAACAAAAGUUUAUUUUCCUGAUAAAUUCAACCGGGAAAAUUAUCAGAGAGGCUUGUGCUGUUGAAGAAACUAGAGAAGCAGGCUGUAUAGAAAGAUCAUUCAGUGACGUUUUCAUCAUUUAAGAGAAUGUGGCACUUACAGAGUUAACAGAACCUGAAGUUUCUUAAACAAAUUGUUCAAUAUACUUUUUUUUUUAAAAAUGGAAUCAAAGCCAGUUAUCACAUAUGCUGGAGAUCUUAAUCUUUUUGCCUCACUCCAAUCGACUCUUGAGAAAAGAUUAUCUGAAGAGACAGUGGAAUGGCGAAGGUCAUAUGGAAGAUCACCAAAGAUGGUAAAAGUAGAAGCAGAUUUUGUGCCAUUCAAUGAAGACAUCAUUCCACAGGAAGGAGAGUGGAACAUCUCAGGUCAUCCUCUUCUCCACACCUAUUGGACUGAGUGCAGCAACUUGGAGAGCUACAAAAGCACAUCUCGAGAAGAAAUUAAUGCUUGGUUUUCAUACCUAAAAUUAAAAAAUGUUCAUGAUUGGAUGAUUGUUGUUGUCGACCAUGCUGAUAUAAGAAAAGCCAAUAAAGCCAAGUUAUUACCUCGAACAACUGUCCUAGAUAAAGUGAAAAAUGAUUUUCCAAGUAAAAACUCUGAAAGGUGUAUUUCCUUGUUGGAUCCAUUGAAAAAUGACUCUAGGUCUAGAGAGUCUUGGCAAUCAUUUUUGCACAGAGUCAGAAUACUGGUACUUCAGGCUUAUAAUUACCAUCUUGGACGCUAUGAGGAAUAUGUUAGAACACAACGCGAGCGUCGUAAUGAGCCCGGGUGGACAUUUAACAGAUUUUUCUUUCUUCAGGAAGAACUGGCCUUUGUAUUUGAGAUGUUGGGCCUAUAUGAAGAAGCACUCGUUCAGUAUGAUGAACUGGAUGCCCUAUUUUCUCAAUUUGUUAUUAAUUCUAAUGUUGGAGGGAUGCCUGAAUGGUUAACCCAGUUUUGUAAACCUUGUGAUACCUGGCCCGGAUUGUGUUUAUUAAAAUCCCAGGCUCUUUUGGAGAAAUUAAGAGAAGGUAAAAGUUCGCUACUUGAUUUUAGAAAUUAUCUUUUCUCUCGUCAAUGUAGUCUAUUGUUGCUGCGUUUAAAGCCGUGGGAAUUAGCACAGCGUGCUUUACCUUUUUUGCACAAUUGUGUUAAAGAACUAAAAGUAUUGGAAAUAGUUAUGCCACCAGGAUCAAUUGCUUGCUGGGUUUUUUUAAGCUGUUUAGAAGUCUUGCAGACAUGUGAAAUAUUUAAAGAAUCAUCUCAGGUUGAAGCAUGCUCAUUGUAUACAGCAGGGCUUCGCUCUUAUGCUCGAGAGAAACUGCACGAACUUGGGAUUCUUUGUGGGCUUAUGCCUGAUAUGGAAGCCACUUCUGAGCAGCUCCAUCUAGUGGUUAGUCUGCUAUCUAGGAUUGGCAAUGAUCCACAUGCUGAAAAGGCCCCACAUAGCCCUCAUGCUAAGCUAUGUGAAUCUUUAUCAUCGAAGGAAGCAUUUUUAAAAAACUACCUAGAAAUGUCAGAACUCACUAUUAGUACUUUUAAGUACAUUGGUCAGGUACGAAAUGCCAGGUUGAUAGGAUACGAUUUGGCACAGCUGUACUUAAAACUGAAAGAGCCACAUAAAGCUGUAACAUUUCUAUUGGACAUGUUGAAAACAUACCAACAGGAAGGAUGGGAAAAACUUCAAGCAAAGACAGAGGCAGAACUGGCAGCUUGCUAUAAAGCAAUGGGAAAUACACGAUCCUAUAUCAAGUUUUGUGCUUACCUGUCGGCAAGUUCUUCAGUUGUACAGGAAGAAAAAGAACACUAUUUUCGUGAACUCAUAACACUGAAGAAGAUGAUUGAGAAAGAUGUUUAUUUAAGAUCAUACAAGCUGUUGUUUAUAACUGAUGUAAAGAUUCAGAAUAGUGAAGUUAUUAUUCCUGGAUCAAAAAUUCAAGCUUCUGUCAAAAUAAGUAACUUGUUUCCUGAAGAAAUUACUUGUAAUAGUGUCUCAGUUUCUGUGGUUAAACUUGAAGAAAGUACUGUGCAAAAGGGCCAUGUACGAACUACAAGUGGCUCCGAAGACUCAAUCCCUCUGCCUGAAUCAUCUCCCGACCUUAUUCAUCAUCACGAUGGAAACACAGGUACUGCAAGAAUACACUGUUUUAAUGUUUCUCAGGUUUUACAGAGGCGAGACAGUCAUCAUAGUUUUCAUCAGGACAGUAGCAAAAUCACUAAAGAUGAAUGUGAAAUAGCUUUUUACUGUCAAAACUUGAGGUUGAAACCUGGAGACAAUUUAGUCACAUUAAAUGUUCAAAUCCAUAAUGAAGGGGUUUACUCUCUGAAACAAGUAAGUGUGGAAUGGGGAAAGCUUUGGUUUAUUCAAAACCAUAUAAUACCACAAGUUACAUUCCAUGUCUUACAUGAACCUUGUAAGAUGGACCUACAUCAAAAUCGAGGAGAAUUAUUAGCAGGGGUACCCCAGAACUUAGAGAUCAAUGUAAACAGUGGCAGUAACCAUGUUCCUCCUGGGACAGAAGUUAUUUUGAAAUCCUCCAGAGGGCUUUUAUUGUCAUUAGACCCUAGUGUUGAAGAUUUCUCUGAUGAGAUCAAAGUUGUUUUAGCUGGAAUAAAACCUUUUCAAACGAUAAAGGUUACUUUACAUGUUCUGGCUCAUUUAGGGCCACAGAGAGACAAUAACACAGUUGAGCAUCAGAUUAACUUAAAAUGGCUGUACUUAGAUCAGUGUGUUACCAUUCCACUUCAUUUUCUGCCACCAUUUAUGAGCAUAAACAAGCUUCACACAUGUGAAAAAAGAAAGUAUGUGCAAAUUAUUGUUCAUGGCUUAACCAGCGAAUCCUUUAUUUUAGUUAACUCUUCACUGAAGUCCAUAGAUAGUAAGCAAGUACAUCCAAAGCCUCUAAGUCUUUCCAACGGAACCUUGAUUGUAAACACAGAACAAACUGCAGGCUUUCUCUGGGAACUUAGACCUGAAGAAUGUGCCUUGUCCCCAAUAAAAUUUAUUUUCUCGGUGGAUUAUUUGCCCAAACAUUCUGACCAGUCGAUGGUACGCAAGUACACUUAUGAUUUUCGCCUCGAUAGCCAUAAAACUUUGUACGUGGUGAAAGCUCAAGUUAUACCAGCUAAAGGACUGGAAUUUUGUCGGGUUGGGAGCAUGUGUAACAUGCAUUUAAGUAUUAUUCAGUUCCAAUCAGUCACUCCUAAUGAGUCACUAAUGUAUGAGAUUGUGGUAGACCAGUCACAGUGGGCAGUUUGUGGUAGAACAGCUGGUGUGGUGAAUGUUGAUAUGACUGGUAAACAUAACGUUACUUUGGAGGUUAUGCCAUUAAUAGGAGGAUUUUUACCACAACCUGUUGUUAGGUUAUCCAGAUACAUUCCUGCAGACCACCAGAAACAUUUUGGAAAAGAUAGUGGGCUACGAUCAGAGGGAAAUGGUCAUUCUGCUGCUCGUCUCGAACCGUUUAAACUGGGACAGGUCUAUAACUACAAUCGAGCAACACAAGUACAUGUACUGCCAGCUACAGCAACAUCGGGAAUUGAAGUUGUGGCUACUUAAUCACGUUUCAGGAAGUUUGCUUUUUUUAUAGUACGUGGACUUCCAGGCUUAUUUGUAUAUAUUUACAACUUACAAGUUGGUGAUUUAGAUCAUUGUCAUUUUACUUCAGAAAAUUAGCAAAUAUGGUUGUGCACAACUACUUUCAAACAGAUACGUUAGAAUGUUAAGUUGAUAUUAUCAUAUGUGUAAUACAAAUGCUGAUUUGAGUUUUAAAGUUAGAGUGUUUGAUCAGUUAAUACCUACUGUUUGUCCUCUUUUGACAAAAAUUCAAUAUUUUGGAUUAUUGAUAAAUAUUCAUCAUCUGUUUUGAAGAUUUGAUUACAAGUUGAGAAAAUUGUUUGUCAUACAUGAAAAAAUAAGAAAGUGUAAGUAAUAUAAAAUCUUUUGAAAUGAAAUAUUUACAACAUUAUAUGUGAAAUACUGACAAUUUGAUCUUCGUUGUGGUUAAGAUUUUACUUGUGUAAAACUGUGUGUAUCUUGAGGAUCAUUAAAAAAAGAAAAUCUUACAAUAGUCAAAAAUAUGAACGAAAAAGGCAAUAGUUCAAACUAACCUUCUUUGGGUCGUCAGAAUGAGGUUUUCUCUGGUGCAGCGAAGAGCUAUGUGUAACGUAUAGAAUUCAUCUUUGAUUUUGUCUAGAUCACUAUAUAUAGUACAACUUUACUUAAUCACGACUGGAGGGUAAAAAAAGAUUUUCAAACAGUGAUGUUUAUCUGUAUGUAUUAACUGACAGCAUAAGACUAAAAUACUCAAUUUACUAUGAGUAAUGUGAGGUAUGUUGAAUUCCUGAAACACUGUUAAUGUAAAUUUAAACAUAGAGUUCAUAAAUUCUCUGUUUAUUAAUGAAUAAUUAGAUAGUUUUUUAUUUAUGAGGUAACUUCAUUUAGAUUUGGACAACUCAUAAAAUUUGAAGUUUCUUUGCAUUAGUUAUGUAUUUAAAUUUGAACUGCUGUAUGUCUUCACGUCGUUUUUCUACAGUAUUUAAAACCUAAUUUUCAACUUGUAUUCGUCCAAAAUAAAAAAAACAACAACAUAAAGUCAGCAAUAUAAAACCAUGCCAGCAAUCUUCAGUAUUAUAAUCUUUACAAAUAUUAGUUGUAAUAAAAAGACAAAUAUUUCCUGAUUUCCACAAAGUCUAUUCCUUGAGUGUAUUUGUACAACUUAAUUGUUUUCUUGAUAACCAUAAGGAACUAUUAUCUCUUCCUUUUUUUGGAUUAAUUUAAGUAAAAUAUUAUUAACUAGUGAAUCCAACAUGAAUAAAAUAAAAUGUUUAUUUUUCAUAACUCAUGGCUUACAAUGCAGUCUUGUUGCUUCAUUUAAUUUUCCAUGUGACUAACUUUUUUUGCAUUUUGGAAUAUCGAAAUGGGUUUACUCUUUGCUGAUUUUAACUUUCCAUGGCUAUUUUUUAAGACUAACAAUAUAUUUAGCUAAAUAUAUAUGAAACAUCCAGAGUUCAAGAUACUUAGAAUUCUGGGUGGCCAUGGACCUCAAUGCCAGGGAACUUGAAAAAUGUGUCAAAAAGUCAGAAAUAAUUGUAUCCAGCCCUUUAUCUCAGAACCUCCAUAUAUGAGGAAGAGCUGAAUUAUCAGUGUCAUAUGUGUGGGUCCAGAAAAAAAUCUGCAAUCUUGCCUGGAAAGUUGUGGGAAAAAGUUUGGAAAGAAUUUGGACACCUGAAAGGAAAUUGUGCAUUAAUACUGUAAUAUCAUAUUUUAAAAUGACUGUGUCAAACAUUUCAAUCUAGCAUUUAUUCAAGCAGAUUAAGAAAGUCUGUGAUAUAGGUUAUUUUAUUGUGUUGAGUAGUCUUUCAACAAUUCCAAAUAAAAAACAUACUGUAGGAACUGUUAUAAUUAACUAAUUGUAGUUGACCAAAGCAAGUAGUUUGCACAAUAAUAUUUAUUACGUGGAGUUCUUGCA